ACCUUGUUUAAUAAACAUACAUGGAACAGUGGGGGAAGCGGAUGGCGCAGGGCAGGGGGGAGGCUUUGACGUUCUCCCAGGAGUGGCGAGCGGGGGUUGUGCAAGCAGCACAGGCUUCACGAGGCAGAGGAGCCGAGAACAGAUAUCUUUACACGAUGUUCCUCCUGACUUGGACCUUCAAUCCACCUUUUACGAAAACCGUGGGAAUCCUGAGCCGGACACAUCUGCACCUGCAGCCUGGUGGGCAGUGCUCCCGUGGACAGCGGAGGCCCGCAGAUCUAGUUUCAGAAUGAAGGAGUCAAGUGACAGAUGUUUAAUUAACUCCUUAAGCUGAUUAGACAGUGUUAGCGAACCCCUCAGGGAGAGCCCGGCGGAGUCCGAGUCGCUGCCUCUUUUUGAGCUUAGAAAGCCGCUGAAUACGUGACUCGGAGCUCCUGAGGUUGG